rnacentral:tRNA from 1 species
GCGGGGAUUGCCGAGAGGUCAAAGGCGCAGGGCUUAGGACCCUGUCUUGUAGAGGUUCGUGGGUUCGAUUCCCACUUCCCGCA